rnacentral:rRNA from 1 species
AUACCCUAUUAUUUAAGAGCUAAAUAUUGUAAGUAUAUAAUAAUUACGAAAGCAAAAAAUUAUGGCGGUAUUUUAAGCUUUUCAGAGGAAUUUGCUCUUUAAUGGAUAAAACACCUAAAUCUUACUUAAAUUUGUUAAAUCAACUUGUAUACCACUAUUAAAACAAUUAUUAACUCUAAUUGUUAAUAUUUAAAACAUAAAUUAAUUUAAAUUAAGUCAAGGUGCAGUAAAAAUUUAAGAAUGAAGUGAAUUACAUUACUUUUAAGGGAAAUAAAAUUAAAUAAAGUUUAGGAUUUGAAAGUAAAAUUAAAAUAGAAUGUUAAUUUGAAUUAAGCUCUAAAAUAUGUACAUAUCGCCCGUCACUCUUUUUUAAGAUAAGUC